rnacentral:rRNA from 1 species
UACGUAGGGGGCUAGCGUUGUCCGGAAUCAUUGGGCGUAAAGCGCGUGUAGGCGGUCCGGUAAGUCCGCUGUGAAAGUCGGGGGCUCAACCCUCGGAUGCCGGUGGAUACUGUCGGGCUUGAGUACGGAAGAGGCGAGUGGAAUUCCUGGUGUAGCGGUGAAAUGCGCAGAUAUCAGGAGGAACACCAAUGGCGAAGGCGGGUCUCUGGACAGUUCCUGACACUGAGACACGAAGGCCAGGGGAGCAAACGGG